rnacentral:rRNA from 1 species
GAUGAACGCUGGCGGCGUGCCUAAUACAUGCAAGUCGAGCGAACAGACGCGGCGCUUGCUCCUCUGACGUUUGCGGAGGGCGGGUGAGACACACGUGGAUCCCCUCCCUAUAAGACUGGGAUAACUUCGGGAAACCGGCGCUAAUACCGGAUAAUAUCUUGCACCGCAUGGUUCAAUAGUGAAAGACGGUUUUGCUGUAUCUUCUCGAUAGUUCUGCGCCGUAUUAGAUAGUUGUUACGGUACAGGCUUACGAAGGCUACCAUGCGUAGCCGACCUGAGGGGGGGGUCGGCCGCCUGGGAACUUGGACGCGGACCAGGGUCCUACGGGAGGCAGCAGUAGGGAAUCUGCGGCAAUGGUGGAGAACAUUACGGAGCAACGCCGCGUGAGUUAUGAAGGUCUUCGGAUCGUAAAACUCGGUUAUGAGUUAAGAACAAAUUUGGAAGGAACUAUGCACGGCGUGACGGUACCUAAUCAGAAAGCCACGGCUAACUACGUG